rnacentral:misc_RNA from 1 species
GACGGAGGGGGCUAGCGUUGUUCGGAAUGACUGGGCGUAAAGGGCGCGUAGGCGGUUUUUUAAGUGAGGCGUGAAAGCCCCGGGCUUAACCCGGGAACUGCGUUUCAGACUGGAAAACUGGAGUACGAGAGAGGAAAGCGGAAUUCCUAGUGUAGAGGUGAAAUUCGUAGAUAUUAGGAAGAACACCAGUGGCGAAGGCGGCUUUCUGGCUCGUAACUGACGCUGAGGCGCGAAAGCGUGGGGAGCAAACAGG